GACGAACGCUGGCGGCGUGCCUAAUACAUGCAAGUCGAACGCAGUGGGGACGGGUGAGUAACACGUGGGUAACCUCCCAUCAGAGGGGAUAACACUUGGAAACAGGUGCUAAACCGCUACUGAUGGCUGGACCCGCGGUUCAUUAGCUAGUUGUGGAGGUAACGGCUCACCAAGGCCACGAUGCAUAGCCGAACGUGGAGGGUGUGCGGCCACACUGGGACUGAGACACAGCCCAGACUCCUACGGGAGGCAGCAGUAGGGAAUCUUCGGCAAUGGACGAAAGUCUGACCGAGCAACGCCGCGGGAGUGAAGAAGGUUUUCGGAUCGUAAAACUCUGUUGUUAGAGAAGCGGUAUCUAACCAGAAAGCCACGGCUAACUACGGGCCAGCAGCCGCGGUAAUUC
rnacentral:rRNA from 1 species